rnacentral:rRNA from 1 species
CCUACGGGAGGCAGCAGUGGGGAAUAUUGGACAAUGGGCGCAAGCCUGAUCCAGCCAUGCCGCGUGAGUGAUGACGGCCUUAGGGUUGUAAAGCUCUUUCGCGCACGACGCGGUAGUGCGAGAAGAAGCCCCGGCUAACUUCGUGCCAGCAGCCGCGGUAAUACGAAGGGGGCUAGCGUUGUUCGGAUUAACUGGGCGUAAAGGGCGCGUAGGCGGGUCUUUAAGUCAGGGGUGAAAUCCCAAGGCUCAACCUUGGAACUGCCUUUGAUACUGGAGAUCUUGAGUCCGGGAGAGGUGAGUGGAACUGCGAGUGUAGAGGUGAAAUUCGUAGAUAUUCGCAAGAACACCAGUGGCGAAGGCGGCUCACUGGCCCGGACUGACGCUGAGGCGCGAAAGCGUGGGGAGCAAACAGGAUUAGAUACCCUUGUAGUC